rnacentral:rRNA from 1 species
CGAAAGGCGUAGUCGAUGGGAAACAGGUUAAUAUUCCUGUACUUGGUGUUACUGCGAAGGGGGGACGGAGAAGGCUAUGUUAGCCGGGCGACGGUUGUCCCGGUUUAAGCAUGUAGGCUGGUUAUCCAGGCAAAUCCGGAUAAUCAAGGCUGAGGUGUGAUGACGAGGCACUACGGUGCUGAAGUAACAAAUGCCCUGCUUCCAGGAAAAGCCUCUAAGCAUCAGGUAACAUCAAAUC